rnacentral:rRNA from 1 species
UAGCCUACGGGGGGCAGCAGUGAGGAAUAUUGGUCAAUGGCCGGAAGGCUGAACCAGCCAAGCCGCGUGAAGGACGAAGGUGCCAAGCAUUGUAAACUUCUUUUGUCAAGGGACAAAAUCAGGCUCGAGAGCCUGACCGAGGGUACUUGAAGAAAAAGCAUCGGCUAACUCCGUGCCAGCAGCCGCGGUAAUACGGAGGAUCCGAGCGUUAUCCGGAUUUAUUGGGUUUAAAGGGAGCGUAGAUGGGUUGUUAAGUCAGUUGUGAAAGUUUGCGGCUCAACCGUAAAAUUGCAAUUGAUACUGGC